UACCUAGUAGUGCAAUUGCGGGGUCAUAGGGUAGUUCUAUUUUUAAUUUUUUGAGGAACCCCCAUACUGUUUUCCAGAGUGGCUGCACCAGUUUGCAUUCCCACCAGCAAUGAAAAAGAGAUCCUCUUUCUCCACAUCCUCGCCAACAUCCGUUGUUGCCUGAGUUGUUAAUCAAGGCCAUCAGUCAUUCUUUAAGGACAGUCAUGAAGUUUGUUCUCUGUGUUCUCAAGGGAAAUCUAAAAUUUUCAUACAGACUUGCUCAUUGUUAUAUUUACUUUGGCUAGAGCCCUGCGCACCCGUAACCAGAAGCAACCUUUUGUGUGUGUCAACACCGUUCUGCAGCGUUUUAGAAGUAUUAACCCCAUUUAACUCUCACAAGCUCAUUGGGUAAGUACUAUAAUUACACCUCGGAAACUCAUUCACGGAGAGCAACUUGCCCAAUGUGAUGGCGCUAGGAAGCGGCACGGCUGAUUGGCGAGUCAAGGAAAGGGCUGCGGGAAGUGGUAAUGCUGAGUGUGGAGUCCAAGAGAGGGCUGGGGGCGCUCAGUACCUAGGAAACUGUCAAUCCCGGAUGAGCGACCGUAGCCCGCCUCCAAGCUGGGACUCGCGAUCCGCCCCCAAACGCCAGGAAGCUCUGCCCAGCCAGAGGGAAACGCAAAUGCCUCUACCCCUUGUCCUCCAUCCACCAUCACUUUUCGCCCUUCACACAUAGGGCUGGGACACCACUGGUCCCUCGCCUAGGCUAAGGAGGCCUAGAGUCGCUGCCAGAACUCAAGUCUCACCACUAUCUGGGGAAUAAUGGCCGCAACCUCCCCUGGAGCGGAAGUUCCUGCGACUCACUUCCCAGAACCCAGAACCACACGUGAGACACACCACCCGCACUGCUGAAGAGGAAGUGUUGUCCACGGCACGGAACUUCUGGACUACACUUCCCAGAAUGCCAAAGCGGUCUAGGGCUACAGCCCCACCUGCCUGGAGUGGAAGUGCUUCCGACUACACCUCCCAGAAUCCUCUGCGGGAUCAUGCUUCCUCCCUACCCUCUCUAUUUCUUUUGGUUAAUUAAAUAUUACCUGAGACACUUUUCCAGCGCUAUUAGCGUUUGGCUUUUUUAUAUUUGUAAAAAAAAAAAUUUUUUUUUUUUUGUCAAGAAAGCUCUAGUACCUGGGGGGAAAAAAAAACACAAGCAAAGCUUUCCAUACGAAAAGAAAUUUAACAUGUUUUUUAGCAGAAAGAGAAGAUUUUACAAGGGACUUGGUCUGGGCUGCAUUGUACAUCAGACUUAAGGAAGAUGGGAUGCCAGACUUGGUUUGACUUGAUUGCCUCUUUACUUGUGCCUGUAUUCAUCUAUCUCUGACUGCUAUCUGGCACGAAGUAUUUAUUUCAAGAUGCCAAGAAUCCAUAAGAAAUUCCAAGCACAAAUCAGGCCGUAAAACAGAAACAGCAGUGUUAUUCCUGACAAAUGAAAGGAACUGCACUGGCAAGGAGUUGGAGAAAAGAUUGUAAUAGGGAAAAUGGCUCUUUCCUUUAAAAAAUUUUUUUAAGGUUUAUUUAUUUUUAGAGAGAGAGAGCGGGACAGGCACAGAGAGAGGGAGACAGAGAAUCUCAAGCAGGCUCCACACUGUCAGUGCAGAGCCCAAUAUGGGGCUCAAAUUCAGGAACUGCAAGAUUAUGACCUGAGCUGAAGUUGGAAACAACCGACUGAGCCAUCCAGGCACCCCUUUCCUUUAAAUUUUUUAGUGCAAACUCAGGCUUCCUUUUGACUACUCCUGUGUUGGUCUUCAAUAUUAUAUAUUUGCUGAGUAUUUCUUUUAUUCAGGAGGGGAGGUAGGUUGAGGUAGGAGAUGGAAUGCAGGUAACCAUGACCAGUGAAACCAUAGGAAGUGGUACUUACCGCUUUACUUCUGGGCAGAAAAAAAUUUUUUUAAUGAAACAAUAAUGCCAAAGUAUUGAGAAUAGUACAUGAAACACCAAAUGCAUAUACCUUAAAUUCCACGCUUAAAAAUUUUUUUGCCACACUGGCUUCAUUUACCAUUUUCUGAAAUAUUGUAUAGCUACUUCUUGAUAUUGUUAUUUCCUUCCAAAUACUACCUAUAUCACUUAAAAAAUAACGAUAUUAUAUAUCCACAAAAUCAUUACCUUAUGGGACAAAAUUAAUAAUUCUUAGUAUUAUCUAAUUUGUAUCCCAGUAUGAGUUCCUGUUUAUUGAAAAAUACUUUUUUUUUGAAAAAUACUUUUUACAACUAGUUUAUUCCAAUCAGUAUCCAAACGGAUUAACCAUAUUUGAUCAUCUCAUCUGAAGUUCAUUUAUUCUGAAACUACCCUCCCCAACACACAUCAUCACCAUCAUUUUUCAUUUCUUCAAAUGUUGUAGAAUCGAGAUGUCAAAUUACGUAUCCAAAUCUGCAUUUUCUAUUGGCCUCCUCAUACUUUUUCCUGCAAAUUUCUAAAUUUUCUGUAAAGUAGAAUUUUGAUUUAAAGGCUAGGUAGGAUACAGGGUCAUGG